rnacentral:rRNA from 1 species
CCUACGGGAGGCAGCAGUAAGGAAUAUUGGGCAAUGGACGAAAGUCUGACCCAGCCAUGCCGCGUGAAGGAUGAAGGUCCUCUGGAUUGUAAACUUCUUUUAUCUGGGGCGAAAACCUCCCUUUCUAGGGGGCUUGACAGUACCAGAAGAAUAAGCACCGGCUAACUCCGUGCCAGCAGCCGCGGUAAUACGGAGGGUGCAAGCGUUAUCCGGAUUCACUGGGUUUAAAGGGUGCGUAGGCGGGCAGGUAAGUCAGUGGUGAAAUCCCCGAGCUUAACUCGGGAACUGCCGUUGAUACUAUCUGUCUUGAAUACCGUGGAGGUGAGCGGAAUAUGUCAUGUAGCGGUGAAAUGCUUAGAUAUGACAUAGAACACCAAUUGCGAAGGCAGCUCGCUACACGGUCAUUGACGCUGAGGCACGAAAGCGUGGGGAUCAAACAGGAUUAGAUACCCUUGUAGUC